CAGUGGGGAAUUUUGGACAAUGGGCGCAAGCCUGAUCCAGCCAUGCCGCGUGAGUGAAGAAGGCCUUCGGGUUGUAAAGCUCUUUCGGCCGGGAAGAAAUCGCAUUGGUUAAUACCUGGUGUGGAUGACGGUACCGGAAUAAGAAGCACCGGCUAACUACGUGCCAGCAGCCGCGGUAAUACGUAGGGUGCGAGCGUUAAUCGGAAUUACUGGGCGUAAAGCGUGCGCAGGCGGUUUUGUAAGACAGGCGUGAAAUCCCCGGGCUCAACCUGGGAACUGCGCUUGUGACUGCAAGGCUAGAGUACGGCAGAGGGGGGUGGAAUUCCACGUGUAGCAGUGAAAUGCGUAGAGAUGUGGAGGAACACCAAUGGCGAAGGCAGCCCCCUGGGUCGAUACUGAUGCUCAUGCACGAAAGCGUGGGUAGCAAACAGGAUUAGAUACCCUGGUAGUCCACGCCCUAAACGAUGUCAACUAGGUGUUGGGAGGGUAAAACCUUUUAGUACCGGAGCUAACGCGUGAAGUUGACCGCCUGGGGAGUACGGCCGCAAGGUUAAAACUCAAAGGAAUUGACGGGGACCCGCACAAGCGGUGGAUGAUGUGGAUUAAUUCGAUGCAACGCGAAAAACCUUACCUACCCUUGACAUGUCAGGAAGUCUUGAGAGAUUGAGAUGUGCCCGAAAGGGAACCUGAACACAGGUGCUGCAUGGCUGUCGUCAGCUCGUGUCGUGAGAUGUUGGGUUAAGUCCCGCAACGAGCGCAACCCUUGUCGUUAAUUGCCAUCAUUUAGUUGGGCACUUUAGCGAGACUGCCGGUGACAAACCGGAGGAAGGUGGGGAUGACGUCAAGUCCUCAUGGCCCUUAUGGGUAGGGCUUCACACGUCAUACAAUGGUCGGUACAAAGGGUCGCCAACCCGCGAGGGGGAGCCAAUCCCAGAAAGCCGAUCGUAGUCCGGAUUGCAGGCUGCAACUCGCCUGCAUGAAGUCGGAAUCGCUAGUAAUCGUGGAUCAGCAUGUCGCGGUGAAUACGUUCCCGGGCCUUGUACACACCGCC
rnacentral:rRNA from 1 species